rnacentral:rRNA from 1 species
ACGGAGCUUAGAGAGCUUGCUUUUUAAGCUUAGUGGCGAACGGGUGAGUAACGCGUGAGUAACCUGCCCUAGAGUGGGGGACAACAGUUGGAAACGACUGCUAAUACCGCAUAAGCCCACGGUACCGCAUGGCACUGAGGGAAAAGGAUUUAUUCGCUUUAGGAUGGACUCGCGUCCAAUUAGCUAGUUGGUGAGGUAACGGCCCACCAAGGCGACGAUUGGUAGCCGGACUGAGAGGUUGAACGGCCACAUUGGGACUGAGACACGGCCCAGACUCCUACGGGAGGCAGCAGUGGGGGAUAUUGCACAAUGGGGGAAACCCUGAUGCAGCGACGCCGCGUGGAGGAAGAAGGUUUUCGGAUUGUAAACUCCUGUCGUUAGGGACGAUAAUGACGGUACCUAACAAGAAAGCACCGGCUAACUACGUGCCAGCAGCCGCGGUAAAACGUAGGGUGCAAGCGUUGUCCGGAAUUACUGGGUGUAAAGGGAGCGCAGGCGGGAAGACAAGUUGGAAGUGAAAACCAUGGGCUCAACCCAUGAAUUGCUUUCAAAACUGUUUUUCUUGAGUAGUGCAGAGGUAGAUGGAAUUCCCGGUGUAGCGGUGGAAUGCGUAGAUAUCGGGAGGAACACCAGUGGCGAAGGCGGUCUACUGGGCACCAACUGACG